CAGCAGCCGCGGUAAUGCGGAGGGAGCUAGCGUUGUUCGGAAUUACUGGGCGUAAAGCGCACGUAGGCGGUUAUUCAAGUCAGAGGUGAAAGCCCGGGGCUCAACCCCGGAACUGCCUUUGAAACUAGAUGACUGGAAUCUAGGAGAGGUCAGUGGAAUUCCGAGUGUAGAGGUGAAAUUCGUAGAUAUUCGGAAGAACACCAGUGGCGAAGGCGACUGACUGGACAAGUAUUGACGCUGAGGUGCGAAAGCGUGGGGAGCAAACAGGAUUAGAUACCCCCGUAGUCCCUGUCUCUUAUAC
rnacentral:rRNA from 1 species